rnacentral:rRNA from 1 species
GCUCAGGAUGAACGCUAGCGACAGGCUUAACACAUGCAAGUCGAGGGGUAACAGGGUGUAGCAAUACACCGCUGACGACCGGCGCACGGGUGAGUAACGCGUAUGCAACCUGCCUUUGACAGAGGGAUAGCCCAUGGAAACGUGGAUUAAUACCUCAUAGUCUCUUUUUUCUUCCUGGGAAAUAGAGUAAAACGUCAGUGGUCAAAGAUGGGCAUGCGUCCUAUUAGGCAGUUGGCGGGGUAACGGCCCACCAAACCGAUGAUAGGUAGGGGUUCUGAGAGGAAGGUCCCCCACACUGGUACUGAGACACGGACCAGACUCCUACGGGAGGCAGCAGUGAGGAAUAUUGGUCAAUGGUCGAGAGACUGAACCAGCCAAGUCGCGUGAGGGAAGACUGCCCUAUGGGUUGUAAACCUCUUUUCUACUGGGAGAAUAAGCCUUAUGUAUAAGGUGAUGACAGUACAGUAGGAAUAAGCAUCGGCUAACUCCGUGCCAGCAGCCGCAGUAAUACGGAGGAUGCGAGCGUUAUCCGGAUUUAUUGGGUUUAAAGGGUGCGUAGGCGGCUUUAUAAGUUAGUGGUAAAAUUUCGGAGCUUCACUCCGGUCCGCCAUUAAAACUGUAGAGCUAGAGAAUGGACGAGGUAGGCGGAAUAAGUUAAGUAGCGGUGAAAUGCAUAGAUAUAACUUAGAACUCCGAUAGCGAAGGCAGCUUACCAGACCAUAACUGACGCUGAUGCACGAGAGCGUGGGUAGCGAACAGGAUUAGAUACCCUGGUAGUCCACGCCGUAAACGAUGCUCACCGGCCCUUAACGAUAAGACAGUUAGGGGUUAAUUGAAAGAAUUUAAGUGAGCCAUCUGGGGAGUACGUCGGCAACGAUGAAACUCAAAGGAAUUGACGGGGGCCCGCACAAGCGGAGGAACAUGUGGUUUAAUUGGAUGAUACGCGAGGAACCUUACCUGGGUUUAAAUGUAUAUUGCAUAAUCUGGAAACAGUUUUUCUCUUCGGAGCUAUAUACAAGGUGCUGCAUGGUUGUCGUCAGCUCGUGCCGUGAGGUGUCGGGUUAAGUCCCAUAACGAGCGCAACCCUUACCGUUAGUUGCUAGCAUGUAAUGAUGAGCACUCUAGCGGGACUGCCACCGUAAGGUGAGAGGAAGGGGGGGAUGACGUCAAAUCAGCACGGCCCUUACAUCCAGGGCGACACACGUGUUACAAUGGCCAUAACAGCGGGUAGCUACCGGGUGACCGGAUGCAAAUCUCGAAAAUUGGUCUAAGUUCGGAUUGGAGUCUGCAACCCGACUCCAUGAAGUUGGAUUCGCUAGUAAUCGCGCAUCAGCCAUGGCGCGGUGAAUACGUUCCCGGGCCUUGUACACACCGCCCGUCAAGCCAUGGAAGCUGGGAGUACCUGAAGUCCGUAACCGCGAGGAUCGGCCUAGGGUAAUACCGGU